rnacentral:rRNA from 1 species
GCGGGGGGGCAGCUUACCAUGCAGUCGAACGGCAGCACGGGUGCUUGCACCUGGUGGCGAGUGGCGAACGGGUGAGUAAUACAUCGGAACAUGUCCUGUAGUGGGGGAUAGCCCGGCGAAAGCCGGAUUAAUACCGCAUACGAUCUACGGAUGAAAGCGGGGGACCUUCGGGCCUCGCGCUAUAGGGUUGGCCGAUGGCUGAUUAGCUAGUUGGUGGGGUAAAGGCCUACCAAGGCGACGAUCAGUAGCUGGUCUGAGAGGACGACCAGCCACACUGGGACUGAGACACGGCCCAGACUCCUACGGGAGGCAGCAGUGGGGAAUUUUGGACAAUGGGCGAAAGCCUGAUCCAGCAAUGCCGCGUGUGUGAAGAAGGCCUUCGGGUUGUAAAGCACUUUUGUCCGGAAAGAAAUCCUUGGCUCUAAUACAGUCGGGGGAUGACGGUACCGGAAGAAUAAGCACCGGCUAACUACGUGCCAGCAGCCGCGGUAAUACGUAGGGUGCGAGCGUUAAUCGGAAUUACUGGGCGUAAAGCGUGCGCAGGCGGUUUGCUAAGACCGAUGUGAAAUCCCCGGGCUCAACCUGGGAACUGCAUUGGUGACUGGCAGGCUAGAGUAUGGCAGAGGGGGGUAGAAUUCCACGUGUAGCAGUGAAAUGCGUAGAGAUGUGGAGGAAUACCGAUGGCGAAGGCAGCCCCCUGGGCCAAUACUGA